GGGGAGCGAGGGAUGCAACAUGGUGCAUCUGGGAGGCCUGCUAACUGGCUAACUUCUCCGGCGUUCCUCCCGGCCGAGGCGUGGGCACAGAAUAGCGCAGUUUGAAGACAUCAUUUUCCAGUUUUGGAGCCGACUAAUGAACUAGUUCUUAAGUGAAAGGCAUUUAACACGACUGUGCAUCUACAGGUACUAGGUUUCCAAGAUGCCUUUCCAGACUAAAACCCACACAUGUGAGCCGCUGGCCGGACAAACAUCUGGCACCUAACGUGGGGCUGAAAAACAGCAGAGGACAUUUGGAAGAAACACUGCUGGUUUGGAGCUCCAUAGAAGAAGAAAAUAAUUAAAGGAAAUUCAUACCAGAGAAGAGACCUGAAUGGUUUGCACCAAAACACAAACACAAACCAUUGGGAGAGUGAUUGGUGAAGUGAUGGACAUUUACUCGGGCAAAGGUGAGGCUGAGUAAAUAUAAAAUCUGCCUUCAAGUAUUUUUGCAUCAAUGAACAGAAGUAUAUCUUUAAGCCAGUUUUUGUGUGUAUGUGUGGUUAAAAGGUCAAUGAUGAAAAUGGCACAUAAUGCUUUUAUUUACUAUUGAUUUUUGUCUUCAGUUGUUGUUGUUGUUGUUGUUAUUGUUAUGGAGGUGGAGGUGAGGGUGGGGGUGGUAGUGGUUUUUCUAAGACAGGGUCUCCCUGUGUAGCCCUGGCUGUCCUGGAACUCACUUUUUAGGCCAGGCUAACCUGAACUCAGAUAUUUGCCUGCCUCUGUCUUUUGAGUACCAGAAUUAAAGGCGGCAGGCACCAGCAUUGGCCAGCUUACUUACUUACUGAUCCUAGACACAGAGAGAUUCGUGUAUCCCAGGCAGGCCUCUUCUCACUUGCUAUGUAGCAGUAAAAGACCUUACAUUUAGGUUCCUCCUGCCUGUCCCUCCCAAGUUCUGGGAUUACAGGCAUAUAUCACCUAACCCAGAAUAUGUGGUACAGAGGAUGGAACCCCAGGUGUUGUGCAUGCUAGGCAAGUACUCUACCAACUGAAGUAUGACCCCAAUUCCAACUCCAGAGACUGCUUUUCACACACACAUACACACACACACACACACACACACACACACACACGUCAGGCAGGGAAGGUGGGUCACACAGUUACAUAGUCACACUCAAUUUUCAAGUGAGAGAGCAAAUACACGGUAGCUGAAAUUCUUCAGGAAGAAGAUGAGAGGUCACAGAUAAAGUCACUCCAGGAGAGAUUCAGAUAACGAGGCUGGAUAAGUAACCCCUUCAUUGUGGCUUGCAGGUAGUAAAGGUCUAUAUUAUGACAUUCUUCUGAUAUCGUCCCAGAUUCUGAAUCUGCCCGAUGUUUCCAGUUGAAUGAAUGUUUUCUCUAGAUUUUAUAGAACAGCGUCAAGACCCAUGAACCUUAACUUUGUUCUCAGACAAUUCAAUUAUUUUAGACUUGGCAAAUUGAUUUAACUUUAUGUCUACUACCUACUUAUACCUACUUGUAUCUUAAAUUAUUUGCAUGGACAUACAUAUUAAAUAUUCAACAUUA
rnacentral:lncRNA from 1 species